AUCGUGCGCGCUCUAUUCGCGCUCGCAUUUCUUUUUAUCGGCGGCUUGUGGCCGGUUUAGGCACAGCCGCUGUCCGGCGCUAAUUACCACCCAGCGAUGCGGGCGCGAUACCGUCGCGUGAGCGGCCUGGAGCGAGCGCCUAAAAGUGAAAGCAGGCCCGCGCACCAGCCAAAAGGCUCGGACGCGGCGGUUUGCAUCGCGAGGUGGCCGCAGUCGGUGUAGCAUUUGACGCUGCCUUUGUCUUCGAGCGGCAAAUCGUCGCCGGCCGAGUGCCCCUUAUGAGGCGCCGGCCAGCCCUAUUUUGUACCUGGUGGUGAUUACGCGAAAGGAAUGUUCGCACGAGCGCCAACGACAGGUGGGGCGUGGCAGACUCGCCGCGUCGUGUGCCGGGCACUUCAUCGGGAGCGCCAGCAGUGUCGGUUCCUGCACGUCCACGGCGCCGCAUCGAACCCGCCGAUCUGUCGAACGCCGGCCGCGCAUGCGCCGCCCUCACGCCCACAUUUGCGCUGGCGCCCUAGGUCUCGCAUGAUUGUCGGCUCUUUCUCUCUCUCUCUCUCUCUCUCUGCUUUUCUUGUUCCUGUGUGACAGUAGGCAGCAACUGUGCCCAAACCGGCCAGCCGGCUUCGGCCGGUUGCCAGCCGUCGAGAAAAAGGGGCGCGAUGCAAAUAAAAAUGCGCACAAUUUGAGCGCGAUGACAUCAC
rnacentral:lncRNA from 1 species